GACCGGAUAGCUCAGUGGUAGAGCAUCUGGAUGCAAACCAGAAGGUCCUGGGUUCAAUCCCUGGUCUGGUCA
rnacentral:tRNA from 1 species